rnacentral:misc_RNA from 1 species
AAGUCGUAACAAGGUUUCCGUAGGUGAACCUGCGGAAGGAUCAUUACAGUUUUCUGCGCUUAACUGCGCGAAAUACACAGUGUUUCUACAUUCAAUUAUCUCCAGUGGGCGUAAGCACGCUGGAGGAAACCCAAAUCAACAUUUUAAUAAUUAGUCAAGAUAAUUUUAAUAUCAAAACUUUCAACAACGGAUCUCUUGGUUCUC